CCCGUUAGUUCAUCUGUGUUUCUUAAUGUGGGAGCUUACUUUUCCCCUUCAAUGCUCGUUACAAAUUUUCAAGCUGUCUGUCCUUGGAUUUUUUUUUUAUCAAAUUGUCUCUAACAAACCUUUUUGCAGCUGCUAUUUGUGCAGGACUGUCUGGAUUCAGAAUUGGUUGGCUGACAGGAGGCAGAGAGUGGUUGUAGAGAUGGAGGAUGGCAUUGAUGCUGGCGAUGUUAGUUGUUCCUAGGACUUCAAUAUUUACGGUGCAGUUUUGUGGCAGAUCUUGAGGAUGUUGCACAGGCAACACUGGUUCAAGAAGUCAUCGCUGUUGGCAGUACAGGACCCAAGCCUCAGUACCACACUGAAGGAUGAUUUUCAGAAUAUCUACAUAGAGCAGAUUUCUUUAUUGGCUAAAGCAAGAGAAGACUAUUUACAAGCACAUGGAUGAGGUGGAG